UGGCUCAGUGGUUAAGAGCAUUUGCUUUUGCAGAAGACCUGGGUUCAACUUCCAG
rnacentral:tRNA from 1 species